CACCUCUCCUCCAUCGCCGUCGCGGAGCUCCGCUCCUCCAUCGCAGUCGCCCAGCUCGCCACCUCCACCGUCGCACCUCUCCUCCAUCGCCGUCGCCCAGCUCCCCACCUCCACCGUCGUCGCCCAGCUCUUCACCUCCACUGUCGUCGCCGAGCUCUCCACCUCCACCGUCGUCGUCGGUAUUGGUGGCUCUUCAAGCGGCGCUGACCGUUAUUGGUAACUUCACAAUGUGCAUUGCUGCUUACAGGAUAUACAAAUCGUCCAGCGAAGGCUCCAAGAAUUUUUGAAUGAAAAACCUUCCACGAGAUCAAGUAAGCAGAGAAGUCCCCUCCAAAGUGGUUUGAAGAUGUGGUCCAUUUCUUUCAUAAUUCACAUGUCAUUUUUCUUUUCAAGUAAAGAAAAGCCAUCCCAUCUUGUCUACCCUCUAAAAAGUCCAUGCCACCCCAUAAAGAUAAUGAAAGCAUUCAUAAUGGCUCAUUAGUCACAGGUCAAAGUGUGAAAUCAUCCACAUGGACCU